rnacentral:rRNA from 1 species
CCCUUAGAUGUUCUGGGCCGCACGCGCGCUACACUGAUGCAUUCAACGAGCCUAUCCUUGACCGACAGGUCCGGGUAAUCUUUGAAUCUGCAUCGUGACGGGGAUAGAUUAUUGCAAUUAUUAAUCUUCAACGAGGAAUGCCUAGUAGGCGCAAGUCAUCAGCUUGCGUCGAUUACGUCCCUGCCCUUUGUACACACCGCCCGUCACUCCUACCGAUUGGGUGUGCUGGUGAAAUGUUCGGAUCGGCCGUUUGUCGCGGUUUCCGCGUCAUGUGGCUGAGAAGUUCAUUAAACCCUCCCACCGAGAGGAAGGAGAAGUCGUAACA